AGCGGAGGAAAAGAAACCAACAGGGAUUGCCCCAGUAACGGCGAGUGAAGCGGCAAGAGCUCAAAUUUGAAAUCUGGCCUCCCCCGGGGGCCCGAGUUGUAAUUUGCAGAGGAUGCUUCGGGUGCGGCCGCCGUCUAAGUUCCUUGGAACAGGACGUCAGAGAGGGUGAGAAUCCCGUCUUGGGCGGGCGGUCCGCGCCCGUGUGAAGCUCCUUCGACGAGUCGAGUUGUUUGGGAAUGCAGCUCUAAGCGGGUGGUAAAUUUCAUCUAAAGCUAAAUAUUGGCCGGAGACCGAUAGCGCACAAGUAGAGUGAUCGAAAGGUUAAAAGCACCUUGAAAAGGGAGUUAAACAGCACGUGAAAUUGUUGAAAGGGAAGCGCUUGCGGCCAGACUCGGGGGCGGGGUUCAGCGGGUGCUCGUCGCCCGUGUAUUCCUCGUCUCCCGGGCCAGCAUCAGUUUCGACGGCCGGUCAAAGGCCCCCGGAAUGUGUCGUCUCUCGGGACGUCUUAUAGCCGGGGGUGCAAUGCGGCCCGUCGGGACUGAGGAACGCGCUCCGGCUCGGAUGCUGGCGUAAUGGCCGUAAGCGGCCCGUCUUG
rnacentral:rRNA from 1 species